CCGGCCGCUCGCUGGCGGAGCUGCUGCCCGCGGUGCCGGCGCCGCUGCGCCCCGGUACCCAGGCGCUGGUGUUCGAGGCGCUGCGCCUGGGC
rnacentral:tRNA from 1 species